rnacentral:rRNA from 1 species
CCUACGGGUGGCAGCAGUGAGGAAUAUUGGUCAAUGGACGAGAGUCUGAACCAGCCAAGUAGCGUGAAGGAUGACUGCCCUAUGGGUUGUAAACUUCUUUUAUACAGGAAUAAAACGAGGCACGUGUGCCUUUUUGCAUGUACUUUAUGAAUAAGGAUCGGCUAACUCCGUGCCAGCAGCCGCGGUAAUACGGAGGAUCCGAGCGUUAUCCGGAUUUAUUGGGUUUAAAGGGAGCGUAGAUGGGUUGUUAAGUCAGUUGUGAAAUCUUGCGGCUCAACCGUGACAUUGCAUUUGAUACUGGCGGGCUUGAGUACAGUUGAGGUAGGCGGAAUGCGUGGUGUAGCGGUGAAAUGCAUAGAGAUCACGAAGAACCCCGAUUGCGAAGGCAGCUUACUAAACUGUGACUGACGUUGAUGCUCGAAAGCGUGGGUAGCAAACAGGAUUAGAUACCCUUGUAGUC